rnacentral:ncRNA from 1 species
AUUAUCAUUAUAAUAACAUAUUAAUGUUACGCAUUGUAUCUUAAAUUUGUUGUCCUUCCCCAACUUGCAUUGCUUGUAGAAUUUCUUUUCGAAAUUCUCUAUGUUGGGGCCCCGCCAACUUGCAUUGUCUGUAGAAAUUACGGACCCAAUUUCUCUAUGUUGGGGCCCAUCCCCAACUUGCACAUUAUUGCAAGCUGACUUUUCGUCAGCUUCUUUGUUGGGGCCCCGCCAAUAAGCGUUGUAGUGCCUAUUAC